rnacentral:rRNA from 1 species
UAGGGAAUCUUCCACAAUGGGCGAAAGCCUGAUGGAGCAACGCCGCGUGUGUGAUGAAGGGUUUCGGCUCGUAAAACACUGUUGUAAGAGAAGAAUGACAUUGAGAGUAACUGUUCAAUGUGUGACGGUAUCUUACCAGAAAGGAACGGCUAAGUACGUGCCAC